rnacentral:rRNA from 1 species
UACGGGGGGAGCAAGCGUUGUUCGGAUUUACUGGGCGUAAAGGGCGCGUAGGCGGUCGUGACAAGUCACUUGUGAAAUCUCCGGGCUUAACUCGGAACGGCCAAGUGAUACUGUCGGACUAGAGUACAGAAGGGGCAACUGGAAUUCUCGGUGUAGCGGUGAAAUGCGUAGAUAUCGAGAGGAACACCUGCGGCGAAGGCGGGUUGCUGGGCUGAUACUGACGCUGAGGCGCGAAAGCCAGGGGAGCGAACGGG